rnacentral:rRNA from 1 species
AACGAACGCUGGCGGCAUGCCUAACACAUGCAAGUCGAACGAGAUCUUCGGGUCUAGUGGCGCACGGGUGCGUAACGCGUGGGAAUCUGCCCUUUGGUUCGGAAUAACAGUUGGAAACGACUGCUAAUACCGGAUGAUGACGAAAGUCCAAAGAUUUAUCGCCAGAGGAUGAGCCCGUGUAGGAUUAGCUAGUUGGUGUGGUAAAGGCGCACCAAGGCGACGAUCCUUAGCUGGUCUGAGAGGAUGAUCAGCCACACUGGGACUGAGACACGGCCCAGACUCCUACGGGAGGCAGCAGUGGAGAAUAUUGGACAAUGGACGAAAGCCUGAUCCAGCAAUGCCGCGUGAGUGAUGAAGGCCUUAGGGUUGUAAAGAUCUUUUACCCGGGGUGAUAAUGACAGUACCGGGAGAAUAAGCUCCGGCUAACUCCGUGCCAGCCGCCGCAGUAA